AGUCUGUGUGUCUCCCACCCCGAUCCCCCAAACACCCAGUACGCACUUGAACGGUGUUCAUCACCAGGCCGGCCGUCAUCAUGCACAAGCCGGACAGCAGAAUGGGCACCACGACCUGGCACAUGACGGUGAAGAAAGAUUCAGGCAAGACCCCACGUGGGGACCGGGUGAGCUCACAGCUGAAGCCUCGCAGCUUCUUGCCCUGAAAGCAAAACUCCAGAUUCAGCUGGGUGACCACCAUGGCCAGGCAAUGCACCAUGAUCCCAGGAGCACGAAGUCUGAGCCUGGGGUGCUCCAGUCCUCUCCUCCUGGCCCACACCAGGACGCUGUUCCCAAGAAGUCCACACAAACAGAAGCUUCCCAGUCACCAGGUGCCCUGUGCCUGCAGAGAGUUCCCCAACAGCCCCUUGGCUGAGGGCCAGCACAGAUGAGUGAGGAACAAAGGCCAGUGUGACUCAGGGCCUCAUUACAGAGACUCUGCCAGGCCCUGCUGUCCCUCCCUGAAGGUCAGGCUCUCCUCAGACAGUGGCUGUGUGUCCGCUGGGACCUCCCUCUGCCAGUCUGCCAUGGAGGCUCAUGGUCCCUCUGCACCGGCCUUGACAGCAAUCAGCAGCCCAGCAGACUGGUCCAUACUGGCUGGGGCUGGACAGAGCUGGAGCCCACAUGGUGCCUGGCCUUGGUGAGUGCCCACACGGAGGUCUGCUGCCACCUCGCCCUGUACAAGUGUCCUGGGCUGUUCCCCUCCUGGCAGAGGAGGGCCUGGGGAGAGAUCAGCACAGAGGGACUGCCUCCUCAGGCCAGCUCUACAGACCUCGAGUUUUAUUCCUCAAGGUCAAGCAGUCUAUGGGUCCCCAAGCAGGAAGCCACGCCCUGGGUCAUCUCAAGUUGUGUCCAGCCAGGGGGUUCAUGGCCACAGAAAGCUGUGUUCACAGAAAAAAAUGCAGGCUUGUUCUCCCUCCAUGGCCUGGAAGACUCAUAAACAUGCUUCCAAAGUGGCCUCGCUUUCUUCAGCUACAAAGUUAACCGAGAGAACAAAGUGGAAGAGACGCUGUGGUAGUCAGUUUCUGGGCGUGGAUCUUAAGAAACUGACAACUUCUAUGUCCUAUCUCUUGGGCUGCUCAUGCUCCCAGCCACUCUGCUGUGAGGAAGACCACGUGGUCACACGUAGAGGCCGUAUGCCAGGGUCCUGCUCACAGCCCAGCCUUGCACAUGAGUGGGCCAUCUUGGGCUGGCCCAACAGCCACCACGCACGCAGAGCAGGCGGUUCUUCGACCGGGCCCUGCCCAACCUGUAGAUUCCGCAUCAAACAAUAAUUGGCUUUAAACAAACUGCUAAGCUUUGGUGUCCUUUGUUAUAUAGCCGUAGUUAACUGCAUUUGGGGAAUCUCUUCUUCAUCCGUGAUCUCGCUAUUUCAGAUGUAGCAACUCCCAAACCUCUCACAGCCCAGACCUCUCCUCUGAGCUUUCAGAUCAUAUACCCAGGCUCUGGUAGGGAUGAGCAUGUGUCUCACUCCACCAGUCUCUCAGGACUGCCACUUCCAAGCCUGCCUCUCCCAAGUGGCCUGCCUCAAGGAAAGGUGCACCCAGAAAUGCAAGCCUCACUCUGAGCCCCUACCAUCUCAGUCCCACAUCCACUCUGCCUGUCCCCACACCUCUCCCACAGCUGUCCCCCACUCCUGCCCACAGAUGCUGCCUUCACCACGGCCCUUUGUCCCUCUAAUCUGUCUCCUCACAAAACCAGUGUGUGCUCUUCACAGGCACAACCCACAGGUGCACUGUGAGGAUGGCCCUUGUUCACACAGUGUGUGGUCAACACACUGCCUGAGAAAGGAGCAUCCGGACUCCUUGCAAUCUGGAAAGACACAUCCACGUGAGCCUCCUUCUUGCAAGUACGUGGUCAUAUGCUGCAGCUGCAGAGGGAACUUCUCAUGACCCUCACGGGGGCCAUGCCCAUGUUCCUCCCCUCUGCUGCAGGCCAACACAUCACCCAGGCCAAACGUCUGCCAGGCCUCGUGGCCAGCUGAGGCACCUCCUCUCAGCCAGAGCCUAACAGCUCUUUCCCCAGAAUUCCCAACGUACUCUCUGAACCUUCCUGAAGACGGGUCCCACUUUUGCAUAACAGAAGCAUAAAAUGCAGGUGUAUCUGCUCUCCCUCCCUGGCACGCACCCCUCCUGAGAACAGAGCCCUUCUCACUGCUGCAAUCUUCGGGAUUCUCCAUGGCUCCAUUCCACAGAUCAGUACUUAGGGCCUAGUAAUUGCCAGCCUCCGCCCUAAAUGCCAGGGUACACUGUGAGCAGAACAAACACAGGUUAUCAGUCAAAAAAAAAAAAAGAAAGAAAGAAAGAAAUGAUGAUCUGUGAUAAGUGCUCUGAAGCAAACCCAGGGCAUAACAAGGGCACAGAGCAGACUCGGCCACACGCAAACAGUCACUGCAAAUGAAUGAAGGAAUGCCCGCAACACUCAGUCACUGCAAUUGGAUGAAGGAAUGCCCAUUUGUUCCCUUGUACAGCACUCUGUAUUUCUCAGAGCUCUCUCACAUUCUAUCAUUUUCACAACAGCCCUGGGAUGUUCACAGGAACUAUAGCAUUCUGUUUUGCAAAUGAAGAAAAUGAACAGUUUCCCAAGAUCACACAGCAAGUUAGUGUCAAAGGCAGGCCGAGACCCUCAGCUUCUGGGCUGCCUGCCAACCCCAUCACUGCCCGUCAUCCAUGGUUAGGAUCAGUUUGUUCAAACAGGAGAUUGAAC
rnacentral:lncRNA from 1 species